rnacentral:rRNA from 1 species
UCGGAGUCGAUUUAGCCUGCUAGUUGCGCGAGUUCAGACUCGCAGCAGAUAGCUCAGUAACACGUGGUCAAGCUACCCUGCAGACACGGACAACCUCGGGAAACUGAGGCUAAUCCGCGAUACCGAUCCCACGCUGGAAUGCCGGGAUCCACAAACGCUCCGGCGCUGCAGGAUGCGGCUGCGGCCGAUUAGGUAGACGGUGGGGUAACGGCCCACCGUGCCGAUAAUCGGUACGGGUUGUGAGAGCAAGAGCCCGGAGACGGAAUCUGAGACAAGAUUCCGGGCCCUACGGGGCGCAGCAGGCGCGAAACCUUUACACUGCACGCAAGUGCGAUAAGGGGACUCCGAGUGCGAGGGCAUAUAGUCCUCGCUUUUGAGAACCGUAAGGUGGUUCUCGAAUAAGAGCUGGGCAAGACCGGUGCCAGCCGCCGCGGUAAUACCGGCAGCUCAAGUGAUGGCCAAUCUUAUUGGGCCUAAAGCGUCCGUAGCUGGCCGUGAAAGUUCGUCGGGAAAUCCAUCCGCUCAACGGAUGGGCGUCCGGCGAAAACUUCACGGCUUGGGACCGGAAGGCUCGAGGGGUACGUCCGGGGUAGGAGUGAAAUCCUGUAAUCCUGGACGGACCGCCGAUGGCGAAAGCACCUCGAGAAGACGGAUCCGACAGUGAGGGACGAAAGCUAGGGUCUCGAACCGGAUUAGAUACCCGGGUAGUCCUAGCCGUAAACGAUGUUCACUAGGUGUGGCACAGGCUACGAGCCUGUGCUGUGCCGUCCGAAGCCGAGAAGUGAACCGCCUGGGAAGUACGUCCGCAAGGAUGAAACUUAAAGGAAUUGGCGGGGGAGCACUACAACCGGAGGAGCCUGCGGUUUAAUUGGACUCAACGCCGGACAUCUCACCAGCUCCGACUACAGUAAUGACGGGUCAGGUUGAUGACCUUACCACGAGCUGUAGAGAGGAGGUGCAUGUCCGCCGUCAGCUCGUACCGUGAGUCGUCCUGUAGUCAUGCACGAGCGAGACCUACGCACUAUG